AUUGAACGCUGGCGGCAUGCCUUACACAUGCAAGUCGAACGGCAGCACGGGUGCUUGCACCUGGUGGCGAGUGGCGAACGGGUGAGUAAUACAUCGGAACAUGUCCUGUAGUGGGGGAUAGCCCGGCGAAAGCCGGGUUAAUACCGCAUACGAUCUACGGGUGAAAGCGGGGGGCCUGCGGGCCUCGCGCGGUAGGGUUGGCCGACGGCGGAUUAGCUAGUGGGUGGGGUAAAGGCCUACCAAGGCGACGAUCAGUAGCUGGUCUGAGAGAGCGAGCAGCCACACUGGGACUGAGACACGGCCCAGACUCCUACGGGAGGCAGCAGUGGGGAAUUUUGGACAAUGGGCGAAAGCCUGAUCCAGCAAUGCCGCGUGUGUGAAGAAGGCCUUCGGGUUGUAAAGCACUUUUGUCCGGAAAGAAAUCCUUGGCCCUAAUACGGUCGGGGGAUGACGGUACCGGAAGAAUAAGCACCGGCUAACUACGUG
rnacentral:rRNA from 1 species